UACGUAGGGACCAAGCGUUGUUCGGAUUUACUGGGCGUAAAGGGCGCGUAGGCGGCGAAUCAAGUCAGCUGUGAAAUCUCCGAGCUUAACUCGGAACGGUCAGCUGAUACUGUUUUGCUAGAGUGCAGAAAGGGCAACCGGAAUUCUUGGUGUAGCGGUGAAAUGCGUAGAUAUCGUGAGGAACACCAGAGGCGAAGGCGGCUACCUGGACAAUUGCUGACGCUCAGGCACGAAAGCGUGGGGAGCAAAAGGG
rnacentral:rRNA from 1 species